rnacentral:rRNA from 1 species
AUUGAACGCUGGCGGCAGGCCUAACACAUGCAAGUCGAGCGGAUGAGGGGAGCUUGCUCCCUGAUUUAGCGGCGGACGGGUGAGUAAUGCGUAGGAAACUGCCCGAUAGAGGGGGAUACCAGUUGGAAACGACUGUUAAUACCGCAUAAUGUCUACGGACCAAAGUGUGGGACCUUCGGGCCACAUGCUAUCGGAUGCGCCUACGUGGGAUUAGCUAGUUGGUGAGGUAAUGGCUCACCAAGGCGACGGUCUCUAGCUGGUUUGAGAGGAUGAUCAGCCACACUGGAACUGAGACACGGUCCAGACUCCUACGGGAGGCAGCAGUGGGGAAUAUUGGACAAUGGGCGCAAGCCUGAUCCAGCCAUGCCGGGUGUGUGAAGAAGGCCUUCGGGUUGUAAAGCACUUUCAGCGAGGAGGAAGGGUGGUGUGUUAAUAGCACAUCAUUUUGACGUUACUCGCAGAAGAAGCACCGGCUAACUCUGUGCCAGCCGCCGCGGUAACAC